CCAUCUUACUGGUAAUCCUUUCUUCCCCCUCCUCUUGUUCAUCCUCUUCUACUUUUUCUACCCUCCUUCUCCAAGUCCGUCCAUAAGCCGUCCUUCCUCAUGGCAACUCUCUCCACCUUCUCUCUUUCCUCAUCAGCGACCCCACCUUUUCCUCUUCCCCUUUCUCACCCACUUCUCUUUCUUAUCCUUCUCUACCUCUAAGCCUACCC
rnacentral:lncRNA from 1 species